CGCUCAGUAGUCAGUGUAGAUUCUGUUUUUACAAUCAGCAGCUACAUCUGGCUACUGGGUCUC
rnacentral:pre_miRNA from 1 species